rnacentral:rRNA from 1 species
UGAAGGCCUUCCGGUUGUAAAGCACUUUUGGCACGAAAGAAACGUCAUGGGCUAAUACCCCGUGAAACUGACGGUACCUGC